AUUGAACGCUGGCGGCAGGCCUAACACAUGCAAGUCGAGCGGAUGAAGGGAGCUUGCUCCUGGAUUCAGCGGCGGACGGGUGAGUAAUGCCUAGGAAUCUGCCUGGUAGUGGGGGAUAACGUCCGGAAACGGGCGCUAAUACCGCAUACGUCCUGAGGGAGAAAGUGGGGGAUCUUCGGACCUCACGCUAUCAGAUGAGCCUAGGUCGGAUUAGCUAGUUGGUGGGGUAAGGGCCUACCAAGGCGACGAUCCGUAACUGGUUUGAGAGGAUGAUCAGUCACACUGGAACUGAGACACGGUCCAGACUCCUACGGGAGGCAGCAGUGGGGAAUAUUGGACAAUGGGCGAAAGCCUGAUCCAGCCAUGCCGCGUGUGUGAAGAAGGUCUUCGGAUUGUAAAGCACUUUAAGUUGGGAGGAAGGGCAGUAAGUUAAUACCUUGCUGUUUUGACGUUACCAACAGAAUAAGCACCGGCUAACUUCGUG
rnacentral:rRNA from 1 species